GAGGAAUAUUCAUCGGCUAACUCCGUGCCAGCAGCCGCGGUAAUACGGGGGAUGCAAGCGUUAUCCGGAAUCAUUGGGCGUAAAGCGCCUGUAGGUUGUUUAUUAAGUCUGUUGUUAAAGACUAGGGCUCAACCCUAGAAAAGCAAUGGAAACUAAUAGACUCGAGUAUGGCAGGGGUAGAGGGAAUUUCUAGUGUAGCGGUGAAAUGCGUAGAUAUUAGAAAGAACACCGGUGGCGAAAGCGCUCUACUGGACCAUUACUGACACUCAGAGGCGAAAGCUAGGGUAGCAAAAGGGAUUAGAUACCCCUGUAGUCCUAGCCGUAAACGAUGGAUACUAGAUGUUGUGCAUUACGUACAGUAUCGUAGCUAACGCGUUAAGUAUCCCGCCUGGGGAGUACGCUCGCAAGGGUGAAACUCAAAGGAAUUGACGGGGGCCCGCACAAGCGGUGGAGCAUGUGGUUUAAUUCGAUGCAACGCGAAGAACCUUACCAGGGCUUGACAUACUACGGAUUUUUUUGAAAGAGAAAAGUGCCUUCGGGAAUGUAGAUACAGGUGGUGCAUGGCUGUCGUCAGCUCGUGUCGUGAGAUGUUGGGUUAAGUCCCGCAACGAGCGCAACCCUUAUUUUUAGUUACCAACUCGUUGGGUUCUCUAGAAAGACUGCCGGUGACAAACCGGAGGAAGGUGAGGAUGACGUCAAGUCAGCAUGCCCCUUAUGUCCUGGGCUACACACGUGCUACAAUGGUUAAGACAAAGAGUUGCGAGCUUGUAAAAGUCAGCUAAUCUCGUAAACUUAGCCUAAGUUCAGAUUGUAGGCUGCAACUCGCCUACAUGAAG
rnacentral:rRNA from 1 species